UAAUAAGUAAACCACCACAAAGCUAUUUCCAAACGCCCAAAGUGGCUGGCGUAAUUUAGCUGGCACCGAUCGCAACAUCCAACUUAUAGUUGAAAAACUAAUUAGGAGUGCGCAGCGCUAUUUGAUCAAAUCGCCUGGUGCUCGUUUUGGCCCACUCUGGCUGCCAACACGUGGAGCGGGACUACUCGAGCCGAGCCACAUACAGUUUACCAGUGCAAAUUUAAGUUUCGAGCCAAGCUUUCCAACCGUUGUAAGACGAAGGAAAACUUAAGAUUGAUACACGUGUUGUUCGCCAUAUUCUCCUGACCAGUUGCGAGUAACCUAACCCCGGACUGAUGGUUAGCCAUCGACACGUCCAACACGA